CCUACGAGAGGCAGCAGUGAGGAAUAUUGGUCAAUGGGCGCGAGCCUGAACCAGCCAAGUAGCGUGAAGGAUGACUGCCCUACGGGUUGUAAACUUCUUUUAUAAAGGAAUAAAGUGAGGCACGUGUGCCUUUUUGUAUGUACUUUAUGAAUAAGGAUCGGCUAACUCCGUGCCAGCAGCCGCGGUAAUACGGAGGAUCCGAGCGUUAUCCGGAUUUAUUGGGUUUAAAGGGAGCGUAGAUGGGUUGUUAAGUCAAUUGUGAAAGUUUGCGGCUCAACCGUAAAAUUGCAAUUGAUACUGGCAGUCUUGAGUACAGUUGAGGUAGGCGGAAUUCGUGGUGUAGCGGUGAAAUGCUUAGAUAUCACGAAGAACCCCGAUUGCGAAGGCAGCUUACUAAACUGUGACUGACAUUGAUGCUCGAAAGUGUGGGUAUCAAACAGGAUUAGAUACCCUUGUAGUC
rnacentral:rRNA from 1 species